rnacentral:rRNA from 1 species
UACGUAGGGUGCGAGCGUUAAUCGGAAUUACUGGGCGUAAAGUGUGCGCAGGUGGCCGCGCAUGUCGAGUGUGAAAUCCCCGGGCUUAACUUGGGAACUGCGUUUGAAACUACAAGACUAGAAUAUGUCAGAGGGGGGUAGAAUUCCACGUGUAGCAGUGAAAUGCGUAGAGAUGUGGAGGAAUACCAAUGGCGAAGGCAGCCCCCUGGGAUAAUAUUGACGCUCAUGCACGAAAGCGUGGGGAGCAAACAGG